UACAGAGGUCCCAAGCGUUGUUCGGAUUCACUGGGCGUAAAGGGUGCGUAGGUGGCAGGGUAAGUUUGAUGUGAAAUCUCCGGGCUUAACCCGGAAAUGGCAUUGAAUACUAUCCUGCUCGAGGUUUGGAAGGGGGACUGGAAUUCUCGGUGUAGCAGUGAAAUGCGUAGAUAUGUGGAGGAACACCGAUGGCGAAGGCAGCCCCCUGGGUCAAGACUGACGCUCAUGCACGAAAGCGUGGGGAGCAAACAGG
rnacentral:rRNA from 1 species